AUAGAAACAGGUGAUGGAGUUCACCUUCAACCGCUUGAUAGCUGAUAACUCCUACCGAUCA
rnacentral:ncRNA from 2 species